rnacentral:tRNA from 1 species
GGGGCUGUGGCUCAGUCAGUAGAGUGCUUGCCUAACAUGUAUGAGGCACUGGGUUCGAUCCUCAGCACUCCA